rnacentral:rRNA from 1 species
AGUGAACGCUGGCGGUAGGCCUAACACAUGCAAGUCGAACGGCAGCACUGAGGAGCUUGCUCCUUGGGUGGCGAGUGGCGGACGGGUGAGGAAUACAUCGGAAUCUACUCCGUCGUGGGGGAUAACGUAGGGAAACUUACGCUAAUACCGCAUACGACCUACGGGUGAAAGCAGGGGAUCUUCGGACCUUGCGCGAUUGAAUGAGCCGAUGUCGGAUUAGCUAGUUGGCGGGGUAAAGGCCCACCAAGGCGACGAUCCGUAGCUGGUCUGAGAGGAUGAUCAGCCACACUGGAACUGAGACACGGUCCAGACUCCUACGGGAGGCAGCAGUGGGGAAUAUUGGACAAUGGGCGCAAGCCUGAUCCAGCCAUACCGCGUGGGUGAAGAAGGCCUUCGGGUUGUAAAGCCCUUUUGUUGGGAAAGAAAUCCAUCUGGUUAAUACCCGGGUGGGAUGACGGUACCCAAAGAAUAAGCACCGGCUAACUUCGUGCCAGCAGCCGCCGCCG